UGGGGAAUAUUGGACAAUGGGCGCAAGCCUGAUCCAGCAAUGCCGCGUGUGUGAAGAAGGCCUUCGGGUUGUAAAGCACUUUUGUUCGGGAAGAAAUCCGUGUGGUUAAUACCCGUACGGGAUGACGGUACCGAAAGAAUAAGCACCGGCUAACUUCGUGCCAGCAGCCGCGGUAAUACGAAGGGUGCAAGCGUUAAUCGGAAUUACUGGGCGUAAAGCGUGCGUAGGCGGUUUGUUAAGUCAGAUGUGAAAGCCCCGGGCUCAACCUGGGAACUGCAUUUGAUACUGGCAGGCUAGAGUACGGUAGAGGGUGGUGGAAUUCCCGGUGUAGCGGUGAAAUGCGUAGAGAUCGGGAGGAACAUCCGUGGCGAAGGCGGCCACCUGGACCAGUACUGACGCUGAGGCACGAAAGCGUGGGGAGCAA
rnacentral:rRNA from 1 species